CAUGCAAGUCGAACGAGACCUUCGGGGUCUAGUGGCGCACGGGUGCGUAACGCGUGGGAUCUGCCCUUUGCUUCGGAAUAACAGUUAGAAAUGACUGCUAAUACCGGAUGAUGUCGUAAGACCAAAGAUUUAUCGGCAAAGGAUGAACCCGCGUAGGAUUAGCUAGUUGGUGGGGUAAAGGCCUACCAAGGCGACGAUCCUUAGCUGGUCUGAGAGGAUGAUCAGCCACACUGGGACUGAGACACGGCCCAGACUCCUACGGGAGGCAGCAGUGGGGAAUAUUGGACAAUGGGCGAAAGCCUGAUCCAGCAAUGCCGCGUGAGUGAUGAAGGCCUUCGGGUUGUAAAGCUCUUUUACCAGGGAUGAUAAUGACAGUACCUGGAGAAUAAGCUCCGGCUAACUCCGUG
rnacentral:rRNA from 1 species